rnacentral:lncRNA from 1 species
GAUGUUGGACGCGUCCGGGGACGAGUCCGGGCAGAAGUCCUCGAAGCGGGCGCGCUUGCAGGGGGCGAACGGGGCGCCCCCGGGGGGCUCGGCCCCCAGGUCGCCCGCGUCCUCGUCGUCGUCGUCGUCCUCUUCCUGGCCAGGGUAGUACUUGCGCUUGCAGCCGGCGGCGGACGCCAGGCCUGGACCCGGGGCGCCCUGGCCACAGCAGGGACAGUGGGCGGAGGCGCAGCAGUCCUGGUGCAAGUAGCCGUUUUCCACCGUGGUCACCACGUGAGUGUCCAGGUCCAGCACAGUGGUCUGGCUGCUGCAGUGCACGCCGAAGUCCGAGGGGGUCGGGUACGCGCCCCGGUAGAAGCCGGGGGAGGAGGCGGGGGCCGGGGAGGCGGGCGGGGAGGCGGCGGCAGCGGCCUGAGGGGCGGCCCCUGGGGGCGCGGAGGGCGCGGAGCAGGCGGCAGAGGCGCGAGGGUCCCGCGGGCAGAGAGCGGAGGGCGCCGGCGGCGGCAGCGGCACAGGACCCGGCUGCAGCGGCUCCAAGGGCUGCCCGCGGUGGGGCGCGCCGUGCGGCGGCUGGAGCGCGGCGCACCCGGGCAGCUCCGAGAGCGCCCCCGCGCCGCCCGCGGGCGCCCCGGCCGCCGCUGCCGCGCAGCCCCUGGGUGCCGGGUGCUGGUGCUGGUGCAGCUGCUGCUGGAGGUGCAGCUGGUGGAGCUGGUGGAGCUGGUGCAGCUGGUGCCGGGCUGCCGGCUCGCGCGCCUCCGCGUCCCCGCUGCCGCCAAGUUGCAGCGGGCCGAAGUCGGCCGCGCUGGCCGGCAUGCCCGGCGCCGCGUACGCGAGGUGCUGGUGCUGGUGGUGGGGCGGCUGCUGCUGUUGCUGCUGCUGCUGCUGCUGGCGCCGGUAGAGCUCGGCGUAGCGCUCGCUCAGGUAGAGCUGGCGCGCGUUGCGGAGCACGUAGGACACCAGGAGGUUCUUGUGCAGCUUGAUGCCGCCGCGCUGGGUCCGGGAGCUGUGGAUCUUGCGCAGGGAGAUGCUGAUCAGGCUCUGGGCGUCCAGGGCGCACUCCAUGCUCCCGCGGAGACGGCGGCGGCGGAGCAGCCGCGGCCGCUGCUGCUGCUAAUACUGCUGCUGUUUCGCCCUCCAGCCGGCCGCGGGGCGCGCCGGACAGAAGGAACGGAGCCCGGGUCAGCGGGUCGGCUGCGCUCCGAGAGGAGCCGCCACCACGCGCUGCGCGCCACCCGCGGGCUCGUGCUCCCCAGACGGCGCCAAAGCAAUGAGCCUCGGCCGGCCCCGGCCCCAGCUAUUUAG